rnacentral:rRNA from 1 species
AACUAUAACGGUCCUAAGGUAGCGAAAUUCCUUGUCAGGUAAGUUCUGACCCGCACGAAAGGUGUAACGAUUUGGGCGCUGUCUCGGCAGCAGACUCGGUGAAAUCUUAGUACCUGUGAAAAUGCAGGUUACCCGCAACUAGACGGAAAGACCCCAUGGAGCUUUACUGCAGCCUGAUAUUGAAUUCUGGUCAUACAUGUACAGGAUAGGUGGGAGACAAAGAGACGUGCACGCCAGUGUACGAGGAGUCGCCGUUGGGAUACCACUCUUGUGUGACCGGGGUUCUAACCUGGUAUCGAGAACAGGUACGGGGAGAGUGUCAGGUGGGCAGUUUGACUGGGGCGGUCGCCUCCCAAAGAGUAACGGAGGCGCCCAAAGGUACGCUCAGAUUGGAUGGAAACCAAUCGACGAGUGCAAUUGCAGAAGCGUGCUUGACUGUGAGACAGACAAGUCGAACAGGGACGAAAGUCGGGAAUAGUGAUCCGGCGGUGCCGAAUGGAAGGGCCGUCGCUCAACGGAUAAAAGCUACCCUGGGGAUAACAGGCUGAUCUCGCCCAAGAGUUCACAUCGACGGCGAGGUUUGGCACCUCGAUGUCGGCUCAUCGCAUCCUGGAGCUGGAUUCGGUUCCAAGGGUUGGGCUGUCCGCCCAUUAAAGCGGUACGCGAGCUGGGUUCAGAACGUCGUGAGACAGUUCGGUCCCUAUCUGUUGUGGGCGAAGGAGAUCUGCGGAGAGCUGUCCUCAGUACGAGAGGACCGGGAUGGACCUACCGCUGGUGCACCGGUUGUUCCGCCAGGGGCAUAGCCGGGUAGCUAAGUAGGGAAAGGAUAAGCGCUGAAAGCAUCUAAGCACGAAGCCUACUCCAAGAUGAGAUCUCCCAUUCGCAAGAAGUAAGACCCCUUAAAGACGAUAAGGUAGAUAGGCCAGGGAUGGAAGUGCAGUGAUGUACGGAGUUGACUGGUACUAAUCGGUCGAGGACUUAAUCAG